CUUCGGGAGACGAGUACAGCGGCGCACGGGUGAGUACCACGUAGGUAACCUACCCUCGAGCCUGGGAUAACCUACCGAAAGGUGGGCUAAUACCGGAUAUGACCACGGCGGUCUCGACCGCUGCGGUAAAAGAUGGCCUCUGCUCACAAGCUAUCACUCGUGGAUGGGCCUGCGCGCCAUUAGCUUGUUGGUGGGGUAACGGCCUACCAAGGCGAUGAUGGCUAGCUGGUCUGAGAGGAUGAUCAGCCACACUGGGACUGAAACACGGCCCAGACUCCUACGGGAGGCAGCAGUGGGGGAUAUUGCGCAAUGGGCGAAAGCCUGACGCAGCGACGCCGCGUGGGUGAUGAAGGCCUUCGGGUCGUAAAGCCCUGUCGAGGGGGAAGAAAUGCUCGGAGACGAAUAGGCUUCGAGUUUGACGGUACCCCUAAAGGAAGCACCGGCUAACUCCGUGCCAGCAGCCGCGGUAAUACGGAGGGUGCGAGCGUUGUUCGGAAUCACUGGGCGUAAAGCGCGUGUAGGCGGCUCGUUAAGUCUGAUGUGAAAGCCCGGGGCUCACCCCCGGAAGUGCAUUGGAUACUGGCGAGCUCGAGUCCCGGAGAGGAGGGUGGAAUUCCUGGUGUAGCGGUGAAAUGCGUAGAUAUCAGGAGGAACACCGGCGGCGA
rnacentral:rRNA from 1 species